UCCGUAGGCGGGCAAUUAAGUCAGAGGUGAAAUCCCACAGCUCAACUGUGGAACUGCCUUUGUUACUGGUUGUCUUGAGUUACAGUGAAGUAGAUAGAAUAUGUAGUGUAGCGGUGAAAUGCAUAGAUAUUACAUAGAAUACCGAUUGCGAAGGCAGUCUACUAACUGUAUACUGACGCUAAUGGACGAAAGCGUGGGGAGCGAACAGGAUUAGAUACCCUGGUAGUCC
rnacentral:rRNA from 1 species